UACGGAGGGUGCAAGCGUUAUCCGGAUUCACUGGGUUUAAAGGGUGCGUAGGCGGGUUGGUAAGUCAGUGGUGAAAUCCCCGAGCUUAACUUGGGAACUGCCAUUGAUACUAUCAGUCUUGAAUACCGUGGAGGUCAGCGGAAUAUGUCAUGUAGCGGUGAAAUGCUUAGAUAUGACAUAGAACACCAAUUGCGAAGGCAGCUGGCUACACGAAUAUUGACGCUGAGGCACGAAAGCGUGGGGAUCAAAC
rnacentral:rRNA from 1 species